CUCUCCAUUCUAAAUUUCUUUAAUAAUUCUCUUGUGUACUUACUUGGGGUGUGGAGAUCCUUUCCUUCAUUUGUUUAAUCUGAAAUCCGAGGAAGAAAUUGAGUUCUCCCAUCAUGCUCAGCUCGAACUUCCUCUUCAUGAGCUUAGCAAACUCUUAGCAUGGAUCUUCAUUAGUAGACCCAAAUAUAAUGUCAUCAACAUAUAUUUGUAUAGCAAGAAUUUUUUUGUUCUUUUUUUUUAUAAAAAGAGUAGUAUCAACCUUUCCUCUUGAAAAUCUAU
rnacentral:lncRNA from 1 species